rnacentral:rRNA from 1 species
CCGACGGUGAGGGACGAAAGCUGGGGAGCAAACCGGAUUAGAUACCCGGGUAGUCCCAGCCGUAAACGAUGUGCGUUAGGUGUAUCGGUGACCACGAGUCACCGAGGUGCCGAAGAGAAAUCGUGAAACGUACCGCCUGGGAAGUACGGUCGCAAGGCUGAAACUUAAAGGAAUUGGCGGGGAGCACCACAACAGGUGGAGCCUGCGGUUUAAUCGGACUCAACGCCGGAAAACUCACCAGAUAAGACAGCUGAAUGAUAGUCGGGCUGAAGACUCUACUUGACUAGCUGAGAGGAGGUGCAUGGCCGUCGUCAGUUCGUACUGUGAAGCAUCCUGUUAAGUCAGGCAACGAGCGAGACCCACGCCAACAGUUGCUAG